rnacentral:sRNA from 1 species
AUUUUACACCGUUGUUGAAAAUUCAUACACCCAUUCGGCUGCGCCUCAGGGUGUAUGAAUUUUCAACAACGGUGUAAAAU